GAUGAAGAACGCAGCGAUAUGCGAUAAGUAAUGUGAAUUGCAGAAUUCAGUGAAUCAUCGAGUUUUUGAACGCAUAUUGCGCCCUCUGGUAUUCCGGGGGGCAUGCCUGUUCGAGCGUCAUUAAAUAACCCUCAAGCAUAGCUUGGUGUUGGGCUUUUUUACGUCCUUGACUGGGAUGGGCCUAAAAAUUAGUGGCGAUGGCUUUUUUACUUUCAAGCGUAGUAAAUCUCGUCUUGCUAAAGAGGAAAAAGAUUUUUUUUCUGCCAAAAAUUUUAACAUUUAAAGUUGACCUCGGAUCAGGUAGGAUUACCCGCUGAACUUAAGCAUAUCAAUAAGCGGAGGA
rnacentral:misc_RNA from 1 species